AGCUCUUAAGCCCAGCAGCAACCCAGGACAGCCCACAGAAGCUUUCCUUUUGUGUGAAAAAUACUCUGCCUGCCUUUGAACACAGCUACUCUCGUAGAAAGAUUAAAUGGGGAAAAGAAGAGUAAGAAAAGGGAUGCAGCAACCCCAGGGGCCUGGAGCCACCAAGGUUGGCCAACAGAAGUAGGCUGUGCUGACAAAGAAGUGCUUGUGACAAAGUCUGCUGGAGGAUGUGCUCCACCAAGCAACCUGCACAAGGAGGAUCCUAUGAUACUCAAGUAUUAACUUAAAGCUGCCACCCCACCACCAGAUGGAAACGUAGCCUCCCAGGCCCUGGAGAACUCCAACCCAUGAAACAAGCUGGCAAGGCCCCAAAUACUGGCUAACCCUCAGGCCAAAAGGGCAACAUUAUGAGGACAUAACAUACUUCACAACAAAAUAACCUGCUUUGAGAAUUUUAGAAGUUUCAUUACAUUAUUUGAAGAAUACCUUCAUAUCAAUAGUUGGAGAUCUCUUGCCAUACUAGGAAAUCAUUACAAGUACUUCACAGACAGCUGCUAGUGUAAUAAUAAAUAAGAGUGCUCUUCAUAAGUUUCUAUGAGAAGCUACCCAGACUCCGGCUCUGCAGAAAUCAGUCUUAUCAAGGUCUAGGUGCCACAGAACUGGCUUCAGAAACAAAUAAAGCCAUCAAAGAAGUCUACUUUAUGUACCUGCAAGUUGCCUGAUGUUCAGUCACCAGGGGAACACAGGAAUUGCAAUACCAAACACAUCUAGUUCAAUAGCAUGUCUCCCAUAGUGAAGAUUGGCAGCUAAUACAAAUGAAAAUAUAAGCCUUCAUAAUGGUAUACCUCUACCAAAAGAAAGCCGAAAUUGACAAAUACAUUCUUCCACUUAUCAAUGGUGAGCAGGAAAUUACCAUAGUGAAUAGGGGGCAGUUUCUACAGAAGUUAAGUUUUUUUUGUUUUUUUAAAAUGAACUCUUGCUUUUAUAAUUGUGAAGAUAACCUUCUCAAGUCGAAAUAACAGUACUCUGAUGCCGUUUUCCUUCUGAAUCUGAUAAGGCCAUCAAUUAAGUCUCAUGUCCCGAUUUCAGCACACAGCCAAUCUCAGCACACAGCCCAAGCAAGCAGAUCGUGCACUGAGGAGUUCUGAAGUUUAAACCAUUUUGUGUCUUAGUUUUGAAUAAAGCUAUUACAUCUGUAA